GGCCCAGUCGCGGAUGGUCCGCACUCGCACUGAAUUACCGAAAUCGCUGAUGAUUCGAUUAUUCUGCAGGGGUGCUUGUUCGAUUCAAGCCUGGGCCA